UACAGAGGGGGCAAGCGUUGUUCGGAAUUACUGGGCGUAAAGGGCGCGUAGGCGGCAUGACAAGUCACUUGUGAAAUCUCCGGGCUUAACUCGGAACGGCCAAGUGAUACCGUCACGCUAGAGUGCAGAAAGGGCAAUCGGAAUUCUUGGUGUAGCGGUGAAAUGCGCAGAUAUCAGGAGGAACACCGGUGGCGAAGGCGGGUCUCUGGGCCGAAAUUGACGCUGAGGAGCGAAAGCGUGGGGAGCAAACAGG
rnacentral:rRNA from 1 species